rnacentral:lncRNA from 1 species
UGUAUCACUAUGAGUUAUAAUGCCAUCCAUUUAAGGUAUGAUGCUGUAACAAGGCUCUUCACAUGCUCCCAACUAAACCUCUGACUGUUUAAUAUGGAUAAAGCAUUGCAAUUCAUUUUCUUCAACUUAGAAAUUCAGAGAGUUCAAUUGUUUACUUACUCAGUCAACUUCCACUGAGGGUCAACGUCAAGCCAACAUUUGACUAUGUGCUGUUAAUACAAAAAUAAGUAGCACUCAUUGUCUCUUGGGUAUUGUGUGGUCAGACUUAUAGGAGACUGGAAUGGUGAUGAGACAUACAAAUAUAUUUCCCUUUAUUCAUAGAAGGUAUCAAGAAGCAAAGUGAAUACCAUGGGGAACAGUUCACAGUAAUUCCAGUUAGGAGCCUAAGAAAGAAGACUGCCAGAGCCUGACAAAUACAGAUGCGGAUGCUCACAGCCAAUCAUUGAACUGAGCACGGGGACCACAUGGAGGAGUUAGAAAGAACUGAAGAAGCUGAAGGGGUUUGCAACUCCAUAGGAAGAACAACAAUGUGAACUAACCAGACCCACCAGAGCUCCCAGGAACUAAACCGCCAACCAAAGUGUACACAUGGAGGGACGCAUGGCUCCAGCCGCAUAUGUAGCGAGGAUGGCCUUGUCAGGCAUCAAUGGGAGGGGAGGCCCUUGGUCCUGAGAAAGCUUGAUGCCCCAGUGUAGGGGAAUGCCAGGGCAGGGAGGCGGGAGUGGGUGGGUGGGUGGUGGAGCACCCUCACAGAAGCAGGGAGAGGGAGGAUGGGAUAGGGGAUUUCCAGAGGGGAAACCAGGAAAGGGGAUUACAUUUGAAACGUAAAUAAAGAAAAUAUCCAAUAAAAGAAAAGAAAAAAAAGAGAGAGGGCUUUGGAGGGAUGGAACAGCACUGGCUAUUCUUCUAGAGGGCACCUACCUGAUGGCUCACCACUGUCGGCCAUUCUGAUUCUGCAGGGUCCCAUGCCCUCUUCUUGCCCCUAUGGACACCACACUCACAUGGUACAUAUUUACACAUGCAACCAAAAUAUCCCUACAUUUAAAAGUAAAUAACAUCUAAAAGAGGGAAAGAGAAAUAGGAAAGGUCUUUUGCCAUCCCCUAUCUUGUAGAAGACAUACAGAAAGUGAGAGAUGACAUGUAGCUGAGAUGCAGUGUACGAAGGCCUGGAUCAUGGCUGGACUGUGAGAGACCAGGGGGACAUCAGCUACUUAAAGUCACAAACAGGUGCCGAAAGGAUAGAGAUCAAUACAGAGACAGGUAAAGUGUGUUCCCUUUAGUUGAGGGCUAGUCCAAAGAGAAGUGGGGGACUGCUUUAACUCCAGGAGACUGGCUAUGAUGUUGCCUGAAUAGACAAGAUCCUUCUUAUACUUACCUCACUUAGGGAGCUGGGACUCCGGUGAGACAGUCAGGUGGGGAGUUUCUUUCUUUCUUUUUUUUAAAUAUUUUUUUAUUAGGUAUUUUCCUCAUUUAAAUUUCCAAUGCUAUCCGAAAAGUCCCCCAUACCCUCCCCCCUUGUUGCCAACCACUGAUUUGAGGUUCAGAAGCAAGUAGAGAAUGGAGCUAUUAUUUCUGUGACUUUUCAUUAAUUCUGGGUCUAUGGUGACUGAGCAUCUUUCUUUCCAGAAGCUCGGAGGCAUUGUUGACUGAGCUGCUAUGCUAAUUUGUACUUUGGAGUAAGGCUUGAGCUAGGACUUACUGCAGAGAUGGUGCAAAUGGAUGGUGCAAAAGCUAUGGCACCCGGAGGCUGCAGUUGGAGCUUUAGUGACGAUUCCUAUCUGUUUACAUUUCAUUGCUCCGCAUUCUGAUGAUAAUAUAUUCACCACAUGUGACUUCUUCACCUACAAGUCCAAAAGAUACAUCAAAUUCAACAGGUCACAUAUGAAUUCAUUAGCAAACCCCCCCCCCCAUUUGACUUUUUUUUGUAUUUUAUACCUUGAUCUAUUAAAAUAAUAAUUCUCUUACUCUUUGAAAGUUAUACACAUUUAAACAAAUGUAUAUUGAUCACGUCCAUCUACAACUACCUCCCUCUUAAGUCCCCAUUAUGCCCGCCCGCCACAUCUUCAUUAAUUAUUCACUAUCCAUAUAGAAAUCCAAGCUGGAAACCACAGCGCUCCUUGGUUCUUCCUUUCCUUCAGCAUUUACACUGAAUGAGCGUCUCCCGACCAUCCGUUCCACCUCUAAAAUGUCUUUGAAUCUGCUCAUUCCUCCAACCACUAUCCUCAUUUUCUCUCUCCUGGAUCUUUGUCAGAGCUUCCUAAUGGGUCUGCCUGUCUCCAGGGCAACCACUUUCUAUUCCACCCACCGAUCUGUGCCAGGGUGUGCUUUCUGAAUAGCAAAUCUGAUCUUGUCAACUUACACAAUUAAAAUCCUCCAGUGGAUCCCAGCCACUUACAGCAUGGAAAUUCAGGCUCCUGAGCUCAGCCUGAAAAGACUGUUUUUAAUUUGGCUUCUGCACCUUCCACCUGCAACUCAAGGCUGUUAAUUUCUGAG